UCUCUCUUGGUAUAUCGGUAGAACACCACCCUGUCAUGCCUUGAGCCGCGCGGUGGAGAGCUGGGUUCGACUCCCAGAGGGAGAG